rnacentral:ncRNA from 2 species
CAUCUAGUAGCUGGUUCCCUCCG